GACAGAGGGUGCAAACGUUGUUCGGAAUUACUGGGCGUAAAGCGCGUGUAGGCGGCUAUGCAAGUCGGAUGUGAAAGCCCUCGGCUCAACCGGGGAAGUGCACCCGAAACUGCAAAGCUAGAGUCUCGGAGAGGAUCGUGGAAUUCUCGGUGUAGAGGUGAAAUUCGUAGAUAUCGAGAGGAACACCGGUGGCGAAGGCAGCCCCCUGGGUCAAGACUGACGCUCAUGCACGAAAGCGUGGGGAGCAAACAGG
rnacentral:rRNA from 1 species